AGCACACUGGGAAUUCCCUUUUCUCUGAUUCUCUCUCUGUCUGUCUGUCUCUCUCUGUCUCUGCCUCUUUCCCUCUCUCUCUCUUUUUCUAUCUCUCUCUCUGUUUUUCGGUCUAAGAGUCCAUAGAUUAGUCACGUGUGUCCAGUCACUCCAUAUAAGCAAGAUCUCCUCAUGUCUUUAUCCUCUUCAGUCUCAGGUGGCUCCUCAUGAAGCUGCUUGAGGGAAUGCCUAGAGCAUUAAGUUGGGUUUGAGUGGGUUCCCAUGCUAAGCAAUACUGUUUGCCCGGACGUGGAGUUUCCUGUUACUCUUCCAGUUGCAAGGCUCGAUUUGCA